rnacentral:rRNA from 1 species
AGAAUCAACGCUGGCGGCGUGCCUAACACAUGCAAGUCGAACGAGAAAGUGGAGCAAUCCAUUAGUAAAGUGGCGCACGGGUGAGUAACACGUGACUAACCUACCCUUGAGUGGGGGAUAACCUAGGGAAACCUGGGCUAAUACCGCAUAAUACCUUCGGGUCAAAGGAGCAAUUCGCUUAAGGAGGGGGUCGCGGCCGAUUAGUUAGUUGGCGGGGUAAUGGCCCACCAAGACUAUGAUCGGUAUCCGGCCUGAGAGGGCGCACGGACACACUGGAACUGAAACACGGUCCAGACUCCUACGGGAGGCAGCAGUGGGGAAUAUUGCGCAAUGGGCGAAAGCCUGACGCAGCGACGCCGCGUGGGGGAUGAAGGCCUUCGGGUUGUAAACCCCUUUCAGCAGGGACGAAGCGAAAGUGACGGUACCUGCAGAAGAAGCGCCGGCUAACUACGUGCCAGCAGCCGC